rnacentral:rRNA from 1 species
GCGUAUGUAACCUACCCUGUACAGGGGGAUAGCCCGGAGAAAUUCGGAUUAAUACCCCAUAAUGAUAUCUGGAGGCAUCUUUAGAUAUUUAAAGCUUCGGCGGUACGGGAUGGGCAUGCGUGACAUUAGCUAGUUGGUAAGGUAACGGCUUACCAAGGCUUCGAUGUCUAGGGGUCCUGAGAGGGUGAUCCCCCACACUGGUACUGAGACACGGACCAGACUCCUACGGGAGGCAGCAGUGAGGAAUAUUGGUCAAUGGGCGUAAGCCUGAACCAGCCAUCCCGCGUGAAGGAAGAAGGCGCUAUGCGUCGUAAACUUCUUUUCCGGAGGAAUAAAAUUUCGUACGUGUACGGAACUGAAGGUACUCUGGGAAUAAGCAUCGGCUAACUCCGUGCCAGCAGCCGCGGUAAUACGGAGGAUGCGAGCGUUAUCCGGAUUUAUUGGGUUUAAAGGGUGCGUAGGCGGAUUAAUAAGUCAGUGGUGAAAACCUUCAGCUUAACUGGAGAACUGCCAUUGAUACUGUUAGUCUUGAGUACGGUCAAGGUAGGCGGAAUGUGUAAUGUAGCGGUGAAAUGCUUAGAUAUUACACAGAACACCGAUUGCGAAGGCAGCUUACUGGGCCAUUACUGACGCUGAUGCACGAAAAGCGUGGGGAGCGAACAGGAUUAGAUACCCUGGUAGUCCACGCCGUAAACGAUGAUCACUCGCUGUUAGCGAUACACAGUUAGCGGCUAAGCAAAAGCAUUAAGUGAUCCACCUGGGGAGUACGGCCGCAAGGCUGAAACUCAAAGGAAUUGACGGGGGCCCGCACAAGCGGAGGAACAUGUGGUUUAAUUCGAUGAUACGCGAGGAACCUUACCUGGGCUUAAAUGUAGAGUGCAUGGGGUAGAAAUAUCCCUUUCCUUCGGGACUCUUUGCAAGGUGCUGCAUGGUUGUCGUCAGCUCGUGCCGUGAGGUGUCGGGUUAAGUCCCAUAACGAGCGCAACCCUUAUCGUUAGUUGCCAGCGGGUAAUGCCGGGAACUCUAACGAAACUGCCGGUGUAAACCGUGAGGAAGGUGGGGAUGACGUCAAAUCAGCACGGCCCUUAUGUCCAGGGCUACACACGU